UCUACGGGUGGCUGCAGUGAGGAAUAUUGGUCAAUGGGCUUACGCCUGAACCAGCCAAGUCGCGUGAGGGAAGACUGCCCUAUGGGUUGUAAACCUCUUUUGUCAGGGAGCAAUUUGCGCUACGUGUAGCGUUAUCGAGAGUACCUGCAGAAAAAGCAUCGGCUAACUCCGUGCCAGCAGCCGCGGUAGUACGGAGGAUGCGAGCGUUCUCCGGAUUUAUUUGGUUUAAAGGGUGCGUAGGCGGAAUGCCAAGUCAGCGGUAAAAUCGCGGGGCUCAACCUCGCUCCGCCGUCGAAACUGGCGUUCUUGAGUGGGCGAGAAGCAUGCGGAAUGCGUGGUGUAGCGGUGAAAUGCAUAGAUAUUACGCAGAACACCGAUUGCGAAGGCAGCAUACCGGAGCCCAACUGACGCUGAAGCACGAAAGCGUGGGUAGCGAACAGGAUUAGAUACCCGGGUAGUC
rnacentral:rRNA from 1 species